CAGGAUGAACGCUGGCGGCGUGCUUAACACAUGCAAGUCGAACGGAGUUUUAACGGAAGUUUCGGAUGGAAAUUAGAAACUUAGUGGCGGACGGGUGAGUAACGCGUGGGUAACCUGCCUCAUACAGGGGGAUAACAGUUAGAAAUGACUGCUAACACCGCAUAAUAUAGCGAAACCGCAUGAUUUUGCUAUCAAAUAUUUAUAGGUAUGAGAUGGGCCCGCGUCUGAUUAGCUAGUUGGUGGGGUAAAGCCUACCAAGGCGACGAUCAGUAGCCGGCUUGAGAGAGUGACCGGCCACAUUGGGACUGAGACACGGCCCAAACUCCUACGGGAGGCAGCAGUGGGGAAUAUUGGACAAUGGGGGAAACCCUGAUCCAGCGAACCGCCGCGUGAGUGAAGAAGUAUUUCGGUAUGUAAAGCUCUAUCAGCAGGGAAGAUAAUGACAGUACCUGACUAAGAAGCCCCGGCUAACUACGUGCCAGCAGCCGC
rnacentral:rRNA from 1 species